rnacentral:rRNA from 1 species
CAGCACCCCGAGUGGUCGGGACGAUUAUUGGGCCUAAGCAUCCGUAGCCGGUUUUACAAGUCCUCCGUUAAAUCCAACUGCUUAACAGAUGGGCCGCGGAGGAUACUAUAAAACUAGGAGGCAGGAGAGGCAAGCGGUACUCAGCGGUAGGGGUAAAAUCCGUUGAUCCAUUGAAGACCACCAGUGGCGAAGGCGGCUUGCCAGAAUGCGCUCGACGGUGAGGGAUGAAAGCUGGGGGAGCAAACCGGAUUAGAUACCCGGGUAGUCCCAGCUGUAAACGAUGCAGACUCGGUGAUGGACUAGCUUCAUGCUAGUCCAGUGCCGCAGGGAAGCCGUUAAGUCUGCCGCCUGGGUAGUACGGUCGCAAGACUG